GCACCUUAGAGACCAACUAAGUUUGUUCUUGGUAUAAGCUUUCGUAUGCAUGCACACUUCAGAUAUGUGCAUGCACAUGAAAGCUUAUACCAGGGACAAACUUAGUUGGUCUCUAAGGUGC